GCGUUCGUCUUGAGCCCGCGAACUCCGCUCCGUAAAUUUGUAAACCUCCAGUACGACCAAACUUCUUUUCUUUCACCUGAAGACGAAAUUUUCUAUUGAGACGCACUCUGCUUCGGUUCUGUGGAGACCAAUUUGUGAGUUCGAACUCGAAACUGGAGUUGGUACUACCUUGGUUGCUCUGUAUGGUUUUCUGAAUUCUAGAUUCUGUCUUGGAGGAUGACGAAGAAGGAGAACAAUCUGGUUGUACUGUCGUCGGAUGAAGAAUACUGUGGUGGUCGAUCAUCCAGUUCCAAACGCAGAUAUCGAAAGACGAAGUCGCAGUCACCAUUACCUCGGAAAAGCACUCGCCAAGCGAAGAAGGCUCGACUCCUAGGUUCUCGGUCUUGCUUGCAUAAGGAUUCCCGCAAUGUUGACGAGUUCAACUUAUUUUGUGAAGAUUUUGAUCAAGUUUUUUCUACCUUCAAGGUAUCUGCUGGUUCUGGAGGCAUGUGCAGAAAUGAAUUAUGGAUUGAUAAAUAUAAACCACAUUCAUUGGAAGAGCUUGCUGUCCACAAGAAGAAGGUAGAUGAAGUUAAGGUAUGGUUUGAAGAUAGGUUGAGGACACCUAAGGAUGCUAACGGGAAUAAUGUUCUUGUCAUCACUGGUCCUUCUGGAGUUGGGAAAUCUGCAACUGUUCAUGUAAUAGCAUCUCAUCUUGGAGCUAAAUUAUGUGAAUGGGAUACUCCUACACCUGUGAUUUGGCAAGAACAUCUGCAUAACUUGAGUUUAGGGAUACAGUACACAUCUAAACUGGAUGAGUUUGAAAAUUUCAUUGGGAGAAUGAGGAAAUAUGGUGUGAUACCUUCAUGCUUUCCCAAUGACUCAAAGCAACCGAUCAUACUCUUAAUAGAUGAACUUCCUUUGACCAAUGGGAAGGCUGCUCUUAAAAGACUUCAGAACUGUUUGCAUCUUUAUGUGCAAUCAACUCAAGUUCCAACAGCCAUUGUAAUUACAGAUUGUGGCAAAGUUGAAAGAACAGACCUCACUGUGCAGUACUUGGAAGAGAUUCAGCUCUGCCUUGAGAACGCUGGGGCUUGUAAGGUUGCAUUUAAUCCUAUAACGAAUAACUCCAUUAAAAAAAUAAUUUCUAGAAUAUGUUGUCAAGAGCAGUAUAGUCUAGCAGUUGAACAAAUUGAUGCUAUAGCCAAAUCGAGUGGGGGUGAUGUGAGACAUGCAAUCAUGUCUUUACAAUUAUUUUGCCUGAAACCAAGCCAGAUUUGUUCAUCAUCAUCCAGUGCUCUGGAAUCUUCAAAAGAAAAUGAAGAGGUGCCUCCCACAGUGGUGGAUGAUCGAUUCUCUUUUCAAUUUGGCCGCGAUGAGAGUCUCUCUUUAUUUCAUGCCCUGGGAAAGUUUCUGCACAACAAACGACAUACUAGUAACGAAUUGGUGUUAGACGGUGAGUUUUCUGUUAAAGAAAAUUUAUCAAGACGGCCACUUAAUAUGGAUCCUCCAGAAAAGGUUCUAUCUCAAGCACAUGGGCAAGCCAGGCCGAUUGCUGAUUUUCUACAUGAAAAUGUUAUAGACUUCAUGAAUGAGGAAGCUGUAGAUGAUGCAUGGGUUGUGGCUUCGUAUUUAGGUGAUGCUGACACGCUCCUUUCUUCUUACGAGAGAAUGCUAGCCAGACAUAAUGAUGCAGAAAAUAUUCUACACCUGGCUGCUGCUUCAGUUGCCGUCCGGGGGGUAUUAUUUGGCAACUCUCAUCCGUUGUCUUCCAGGUGGCAUGCUAUACGUAGACCAAAGCUUUGGCAAAUCGAGGGAUCCUCAUUGUUGAAUAAGAGGGAGAUGGUAAAACAAAGAUUUAUCGCUUAUGGUGGGAUCAGUUUAGCGGAUUUUUCAGUAGUUGCCACAGAGUACAUACCUGCAUUGAAAUGGCUUGGUAGUAGUGCAUCCGGAGAUCGUGAAAAUUUACCGGUAUUGUCAGAUGAAAAUACAGAUUUUGAUUUGGUGAAUUCAGGAAAUGGAGAAAGUCAUACUUCUGAUGAAGAAAUUGAAGAUUGGUAAAUUAGAUAGGUGCCCCGUUAUGUAAGCAAUCCCGAGACGAUUGGAUGUGUUGCUCAACACCACAUGUGGUUUUGUAAAAUAAAUCCUGUUGCCUUUCCAUUAAAGAUGGUGUCAAAAAGACCCUUGGGAAUUGGCCUCCAGCAGUUUUUCUCAGGCGUUAUUCAAACUUCAGAGUUCCGACUUCUGAGUAGGGGGAUGAUGCAAGCAUGGUAAGUGAACUGAGAAGAUAACAGACGGUCGGGCUAACACAGUAGGUAUGGACUUUACAGCCUAAAUAUUAAGCAUCAGAAUGCAGCCAAAUGACUAUUGAUUUCUUGUUUCUGUUAAAGCGCAAGUAUGAAAGACACUAACCCUUUGACAAGCUCAAGGAGUUGUGGAUAGAGCUCAGUUUCUCUUAGCUUGACGAUUUCAGCUGAUGUGGU